rnacentral:rRNA from 1 species
UACGUAGGUGGCAAGCGAUACUCGGAAUCACUAGGCGUAAAGCGCAGGUAGGCGGUUCGGUAAGUCUCUUGUGAAAGCUCCCGGCUCAACUGGGAGAGGUCAAGGGAAACUACCGGGCUAGAAAGUGGCAGAGGAAACUGGAAUUCCCGGUGUAGCGGUGAAAUGCGUAGAUAUAGGGAAGAACACCAAUAAGGCGAAGGCAGUUAACUAUGCUAUUCCUGACAUUGAGGCAUGAAAGCGUGGGGAGCAAAACGG